AGUUCGGAUCGGAGUCUGCAACUCGACUCCGUGAAGCUGGAUUCGCUAGUAAUCGCGCAUCAGCCACGGCGCGGUGAAUACGUUCCCGGGCCUUGUACACACCGCCCGUCAAGCCAUGGGAGCCGGGGGUACCUGAAGUCCGUAACCGCGAGGAUCGGCCUAGGGUAAAACUGGUGACUGGGGCUAAGUCGUAACAAGGUAUC
rnacentral:rRNA from 1 species